AGCACCGUUCAUGUCGUACAGUAGCUGAUCGUAUGAAAUGUGUCCUCGCUCGCUUAACAGUCUCAAAAUCUUUCUCAAACCCUCCAUGUCUCUUUGACCCUCCAGAUAAUCCACACAGCUCAUCAGCACAACCUGGUGUGGUCUCCACCCUGGCUUGCUCACCUCUAUUGCUCUCUUCCAUUUCUCCACCGCCUUCUCCAUUUUACCCGCCAUCUUGUACCCAAGAGCUAAACGCUCCCAUGUGCUUGUAUCCUCCACUCUCCACUUCUGGACCAAUAUAUUUACUACUUCCUCUGCCUUCUCCAUCAUUCCUUUCUUGCAGUAACCCGUUAUUAACAAGUGUGGGAUCCGAAUAUCGAAAAGGGAGUGUCCAGCUUCCCACUCUUCCAUAAUUUUCUCCACCUCCUCUAUGUCAUCCAUCUUCAAGAGUGCACUGAUCACGCUUAUGUAUCCAGUGUUGUAGAACCCGUCCAGCUCCUUGUACAAGCUCCAGAGACGGUACACCUCUUCUUUCUUACCUGCAGCUCCAUAGAAUGACAUGAGAACCUCAUAGGCAUGCUUUCUUUUCUGAGCAUUCACCAUCUGCUCUGAUUUACGCAGCAUCUCUAGAGCCUUUUCAGUUAAUCCAGCCUUUAUGUAGCCAUUCGCUGUAUCGGCGUAAGUGCGCCAGUCCAAAUGAAGCCCCUGGUCAGCCUCACAACGCAUAAGAAACUUCUCCAUCCCCUCUACAUCAGAUACAACCGAAUAAGCAUGCAACCGCGUGUUCACUGUGAAGAUGUCUGGCUUCACAGUCUCAUCCUCCAUUUCGCGCAGCAGCUUCUCAACCAUUGUGUAUUUCCCAGUCCGGACAUAGAGAUUCAGCAUCACAUUGUAGGGAAGACAACCUUUAAGGAAGCCAAGCUCUUUCAUCUCCUGAAACACUUGCUCAGCUUUGUGCAACACCUUCUUGCUCGCAUAGCAGUUCAAGAGAGCACCGUAGAGAUGGUAGUUCCUCCUCUCCAUAGGAAUAGUUUCGAAAAACUUCUCUGCUUCUCCCAAACCACCAACUUUAGCAAUCAAAUCAAGCCGAAUCGCAACAUCUCCUUCAGAGAUCUCAUGAACUCUAUGCUCACUCAUCCAAUCUGAUAUCUAACAUCAUCACAAUAACAACAAGAAGAGAAAAGAUACCAUUUUUAAGAUUUGGAUUCGUAUUAUCACAGAGUAACAACAACAAAAAAGAUGAACUUUUUUUUGAAAGUAAGCAACAGAGGAA